ACGGGAGGCAGCAGUGGGGGAUAUUGCACAAUGGGGGAAACCCUGAUGCAGCGACGCCGCGUGAGCGAAGAAGUAUUUCGGUACGUAAAGCUCUAUCAGCAGGGAAGAAAAUGACGGUACCUGACUAAGAAGCUCCGGCUAAAUACGUGCCAGCAGCCGCGGUAAUACGUAUGGAGCAAGCGUUAUCCGGAUUUACUGGGUGUAAAGGGAGCGUAGACGGCGUGGCAAGUCUGAUGUGAAAGCUAUGGGCUCAACCCAUAAACUGCAUUGGAAACUGUCAUGCUAGAGUGUCGGAGAGGUAAGCGGAAUUCCUAGUGUAGCGGUGAAAUGCGUAGAUAUUAGGAGGAACACCAGUGGCGAAGGCGGCUUACUGGACGAUAACUGACGUUGAGGCUCGAAAGCGUGGGGAGCAAACAGGAUUAGAUACCCUGGUA
rnacentral:rRNA from 1 species